rnacentral:rRNA from 1 species
AUUGAACGCUGGCGGCAGGCCUAACACAUGCAAGUCGAACGAGUGGCGGACGGGUGAGUAAUGUCUGGGAAACUGCCUGAGGGAGGGGGAUAACUACUGGAAACGGUAGCUAAUACCGCAUACCAUCGGAUGUGCCUAGGUGGGAUUAGCUAGUCGGUGGGGUAACGGCUAACCUAGGCGACGAUCCCUAGCUGGGCUGAGAGGAUGACCAGCCACACUGGAAAUGUGACACGGCCCAGACUCCUACGGGAGGCAGCAGUGGGGAAUAUUGCACAAUGGGCGCAAGCCUGAUGCAGCCAUGCCGCGUGUAUGAAGAAGGCCUUCGGGUUGUAAAGUACUUUCAGCGAGGAGGCGUUACUCGCAGAAGAAGCACCGGCUAACUACGUGCCAGCAGCCGCGGUAAUUC